ACAUUGUCCUUUCUCUUUCAUCCGCAUAGAAACUUAUUGUGCGUGAAAUUCAAAUCCUCUUCCCUCAUUCAGAAAUUAAAUCCUUAGUUCGCAUUGUUUCGACCUUUUUUUUCCAGAGAACCUUCGACCUCGGAUAUCCAUCGACGCUGGAGAACAUGGACGCAGCUGAUAAGGGGGCUCCUACCCUAUUGAGACCGAGCACUAUUAAUGUAACGUCGGAUGUUGGCACGUAUUAUAAAAUCAAGUAUUUAGGCAAGGUGAAAAAAAUAUUAAAGGAUAAAGGCGGUGAACAAUUGUUGAAUAUAUUUUUAGGCGGUUGUUUUGGACAUCUUGUGGAUUGGAAUCCUGGUCCUAAAUGUGCGAUGACCGUGCAUCAUGUAGUCUCUCGUCAAAUAAAGUCUAAUGAUGAUGGUUUAUAUUUUUUAUUAAAUAAUACCAGAGUUCAUUAUUCUAGGAGGGAUUAUGCUCUAGUGACUGGUCUUCAAUUUGGUGAUUUUAAUUUUGAUAUGUCACGUAAUCAUGAUGUGAGUAGAGUGGAAGUGUUUAAGAGGUUUAGUUGUGGCCAGUCUCACGUGAAAGUGUAGUUUCUCUAUGAUCUUUUUGAUAAUUUUAAGAUUGAUGAUGAGGAUGGAAGUUUAUACCUGAGGAUUGCCUAUAUUUUAGUUUUAUAUGGAAUGCUGGUAGGUUAUGAGACUGAUAAAACAGUUGAGAAUUGGGUUUGGGCAUUAGUGGAUGAUCUCGAUGCAUUUAACCGAUUUCCGUGGGGGGCGUAUACUUAUAAUAUAUUGUGCAAUUAUGCUACAAAUUGCGUCUCUAAAAACCAAUAUAAAUUCUAUGGACCUGUUUGGGCGUUGCAUGUGUGGUCGCUAGAGAUCAUGCCCGACUUAGGUAAUGUUGUCGGUAAUUGUGUUGCUGAGUUUGCGCACCCUAAGUGGAAAUUUCGCAGUAGACCGGCUACGAAGGAUUUAAGCCCAUUUUUCAUGAAAGAG